UACGUAGGGGGGCAAGCGUUGUCCGGAUUUAUUGGGCGUAAAGAGCGUGUAGGCGGCCGUACAGGUCAGCUGUGAAAACUCGAGGCUCAACCUCGAGACGUCGGUUGAAACCGUACGGCUAGAGUCCGGAAGAGGAGAGUGGAAUUCCCGGUGUAGCGGUGAAAUGCGCAGAUAUCGGGAAGAACACCCGUGGCGAAGGCGGCUCUCUGGGACGGUACUGACGCUGAGACGCGAAAAGCGUGGGGAGCGAACAGG
rnacentral:rRNA from 1 species